rnacentral:rRNA from 1 species
UACGUAGGGGGCUAGCGUUGUCCGGAAUCAUUGGGCGUAAAGAGCGCGUAGGCGGCCAGAUAAGUCCGGUGUGAAGGUCAAAGGCUCAACCUUUGAAUGCCGCUGGAAACUGUCUGGCUAGAGUCCGGGAGGGGCGAGUGGAAUUCCUGGUGUAGCGGUGAAAUGCGCAGAUAUCAGGAGGAACACCAAUGGCGAAGGCAGCUCGCUGGAACGGUACUGACGCUGAGGCGCGAAAGCGUGGGGAGCGAACAGG